AAAGGCCCACCGGAAUGCUGGAGUUGCUGCUUGCAGAACUUAUAAAAAGAAAUGGAUCUAAGUGGUACAAGGGAUGGACCAUAACAGAUGUUGUGAUAUGCCAUCUGGCUCAUGCUUCAAGACCAAAGGACUUAUUCCCCCAAGUUCCUGGGAGUUCUGCUGGUCAUUGACCUUCAGCAAUCAGCACUUUUUUUGGAAGAUGAGAUUUGACACAGAAAGGUAUGGAGGCAAGACCAUGAGAAGAUAUAGCAAGAAGGUACAAACCAAGGAGAGAGGCCUCAGGAGAAACCAAUGCUGCAACCACCCUGACCUCAGACUUCUAGUCUCCAGAAUAACGUGGGACCUCCAGGCUUCCUCCACAGACUAGACUGGAGAACACGAGACAGCUGCCACUCAUCUCUCCCUCCCCCUGUUACAAGAAGAAAAUCACUCCAAGACGCUUCACAGUGUUCCUUGUCAAUGCUUUUCUCAACCUGAAGAAGCAGGAGGCUCUAUUCCAGUCUAUUCACAUCGGUGGGAACGAAGAAGCAACAUGGGGCUUAGAACAGAAAUCUGAAAAUUGCGGACGGACGGCAGAGAGGAGCCACCUGUUUAAUUGUAUUCAAACUCGUCUGAACUGGUUUCUAAAGACCUUCAUCCUUCCCCUCCCCUCCAAGAAAAAGAGCA